GUGCUCCCUUCGGCAGCACAUAUACUAAAAUUGGAAUGAUACGGAGAUUAGCAUGGCCCCUGUGCAAGGAUGACACUCAAAUUCGUGAAGCGUUCCAUUUUUUU
ensembl:snRNA Gm24311 predicted gene, 24311